CAAGUCGAGCGGGGGAAGGUAGCUUGCUACCGGACCUAGCGGCGGACGGGUGAGUAAUGCUUAGGAAUCUGCCUAUUAGUGGGGGACAACAUCUCGAAAGGGAUGCUAAUACCGCAUACGUCCUACGGGAGAAAGCAGGGGAUCUUCGGACCUUGCGCUAAUAGAUGAGCCUAAGUCGGAUUAGCUAGUUGGUGGGGUAAAGGCCUACCAAGGCGACGAUCUGUAGCGGGUCUGAGAGGAUGAUCCGCCACACUGGGACUGAGACACGGCCCAGACUCCUACGGGAGGCAGCAGUGGGGAAUAUUGGACAAUGGGGGGAACCCUGAUCCAGCCAUGCCGCGUGUGUGAAGAAGGCCUUAUGGUUGUAAAGCACUUUAAGCGAGGAGGAGGCUACUUUAGUUAAUACCUAGAGAUAGUGGACGUUACUCGCAGAAUAAGCACCGGCUAACUCUGUGCCAGCAGCCGCGGUAAUACAGAGGGUGCGAGCGUUAAUCGGAUUUACUGGGCGUAAAGCGUGCGUAGGCGGCUUAUUAAGUCGGAUGUGAAAUCCCCGAGCUUAACUUGGGAAUUGCAUUCGAUACUGGUGAGCUAGAGUAUGGGAGAGGAUGGUAGAAUUCCAGGUGUAGCGGUGAAAUGCGUAGAGAUCUGGAGGAAUACCGAUGGCGAAGGCAGCCAUCUGGCCUAAUACUGACGCUGAGGUACGAAAGCAUGGGGAGCAAACAGGAUUAGAUACCCUGGUAGUCCAUGCCGUAAACGAUGUCUACUAGCCGUUGGGGCCUUUGAGGCUUUAGUGGCGCAGCUAACGCGAUAAGUAGACCGCCUGGGGAGUACGGUCGCAAGACUAAAACUCAAAUGAAUUGACGG
rnacentral:rRNA from 1 species